CACUUCAAGCAUCAAGACAGCGAACCAGGUUUACUCUUGCCACAAGUGGAGUUCAUCUUGAUCUGGCUCGUUGUUCCUUUUUCCUAUGCAUAUACUUCUUUGAGAAUUGCUUCUAAAGAGGUAUAGGGCAUGGGAAAAUGGGGCAAUUGAGGUACUUCACCAUUCAUUUCAAACAGCUGUAGAAAAUAGCGAAAACAGAUGUAUGAAGAAAUUACAGGUGCUGGGAAUCAUUCUUCACUGAAUCCAGUUAGUGCUGACUCAGGUACCUUGGAACCGGAAGUAUAGAAGCUCUCUUGGCUUUUUUCAUUCAGUAGAAAAACAGUCAUUAAACACAAUUUUUAUGUUUCUGUCCAAUUACCUUUAUUUACUCUAAAUAACAAUAUAUCAUGUCAAUUGGAGGGGAAUACUGCUAUUAUGAAAUAAUGGAACAGUACAUAACAUAUGUCAAAUAAAAAUCUUAUGUUUCAGUCACUGGUCAAAAGUUUGUGUUACACUACAUCACAGUUUCCAACAAGUCUUGUAAAGCUGUGGGCUUAGAAAAAAGCAAAA